GACGAACGCUGGCGGCGUGCUUAACACAUGCAAGUCGAACGGAAAGGCCCUGCUUUUGUGGGGUGCUCGAGUGGCGAACGGGUGAGUAACACGUGAGUAACCUGCCCUUGACUUUGGGAUAACUUCAGGAAACUGGGGCUAAUACCGGAUAGGAGCUCCUGCUGCAUGGUGGGGGUUGGAAAGUUUCGGCGGUUGGGGAUGGACUCGCGGCUUAUCAGCUUGUUGGUGGGGUAGUGGCUUACCAAGGCUUUGACGGGUAGCCGGCCUGAGAGGGUGACCGGCCAAAUUGGGACUGAGAUACGGCCCAGAAUACUACGGGAGGCAGCAGUGGGGAAUAUUGCACAAUGGGAGGAAGCCUGAUGCAGCAACGCAGCGUGCGGGAUGACGGCCUUCGGGUUGUAAACCGCUUUCGCCUGUGACGAAGCGUGAGUGACGGUAAUGGGUAAAGAAGCACCGGCUAACUACGUG
rnacentral:rRNA from 1 species